GACAGAGGGUGCAAGCGUUGUUCGGAAUUAUUGGGCGUAAAGGGCGCGUAGGCGGCUAUGUAAGUCAGAUGUGAAAGCCCGGGGCUUAACCUCGGAAGUGCAUCUGAUACUGCGUAGCUUGAGUCUCGGAGAGGGUGGUGGAAUUCCCAGUGUAGAGGUGAAAUUCGUAGAUAUUGGGAGGAACACCGGUGGCGAAGGCGACCACCUGGACGAAGACUGACGCUGAGGCGCGAAAGCGUGGGGAGCAAACAGG
rnacentral:rRNA from 1 species